AUAGGCUUCCCCUGAGAGAAACCUGGCAGGAACCAAGCCCACUGCUGUGACCAGGAUGCUCCCUGGGGUGGAGAGGCCAGGGGACUGAUGUCUGGAAGGUCCCUAGGGCAGAACAGCAAGCCCAGCAGGAGGAGGAAUUUAGCCCUGGACAUCAAGGGCCGCCUCUACCUGGACAGGCAGAAGAAGACAUUUUUAAUGAGGUUCUGUAGGUCAACGUGAUCUUGGGCUAAGGGAUGGUCACUGAGCAAUGCUCAGUGCAGGACCGAGGGAUGGCUGAGGAGGAUCAGGUGCUGGGG
rnacentral:lncRNA from 1 species